rnacentral:sRNA from 1 species
AAUUAAAUUAGUAUUUGACUUUUUAAUCCUUAAAGAGAUAAAUUAAUUUAUUCUUUAAAAUUUUAUUUCUAAUGGCAUACCUAUGUAAUUACUUACAAAAAUUAAGGUUACAUUUAAAAUGUACUUCCCAAAUAAUAUAGUAGGAUGUUUGUAUUAACAUAAAAGACCAAUAAUGAUAAAAAAAAAUUAUACAAAAAA